rnacentral:lncRNA from 1 species
GUUCCUGAGGCCAUAGCCCCCAGAAGUCUUCUGAAAGUGAUGGUGGCAAUUCAGGAGAAGAAAGUGUUAUUUCCUUUUUGUAUUUUCACUUGAAAAAAAACUGAGAAGAGUGUGACUAGUCGAUGAUAUUUUGACCAUACAGCUGUUGAGCACUUCUGAGGAAGAGGAACAUGGAAGAGACAUUUGUUGAGUACCUAUUACAUGCCAGGCAAUUCCCAUACAUAUUUUACUUAAUCUUCACAACCGCCCAGAGAAAGAGAUCUCUUUUAUCCUUAUUUUAUGGACAUGACAAAACUGAAUAGAAGGCCCUAGUUUACAAACUCCAGGGGCUCCGCUCCAUUUGCUAUCAGCUAAGCAGACUUGGAGCGUGGACCCCUAUUUCUGCUUCUCCCGGGACACUGUAAAUCUCUCCAUUUGCCAUCAGUCUGGAGCUGUGAGCAUGCAGAUGAAAGGCGUUGUGGAUCUGUGAACUACCGUAGCUCUACCUUCGGAGGAACUGACUUUCAGCUUUCAGCCACAUGCAUGAGAGGGGCUGAUUCCAUCUGUCGACCUGUCAG